UUUCCGUAGGUGAACCUGCGGAAGGAUCAUCGUUGAACUCGUUUCAAUCUUCUCAAACCCCUUGUGCACUUCUACAUGUAUCACCCACGCUUGUUUGGAACGUGCGAUUUGAUAACCGUAAUACAACUUUCAACAACGGAUCUCUUGGCUCUC
rnacentral:misc_RNA from 1 species